rnacentral:rRNA from 1 species
UAGGGAAAUCUUCCACAAUGGACGCAAGUCUGAUGGAGCAACGCCGCGUGAGUGAAGAAGGUUUUCGGAUCGUAAAGCUCUGUUGUUGGUGAAGAAGGAUAGAGGUAGUAACUGGCCUUUAUUUGACGGUAAUCAACCAGAAAGUCACGGCUAACUACGUGCCAGCAGCCGCGGUAAUACGUAGGUGGCAAGCGUUGUCCGGAUUUAUUGGGCGUAAAGCGAGCGCAGGCGGAUUGAUAAGUCUGAUGUGAAAGCCUUCGGCUCAACCGAAGAACUGCAUCAGAAACUGUCAAUCUUGAGUGCAGAAGAGGAGAGUGGAACUCCAUGUGUAGCGGUGGAAUGCGUAGAUAUAUGGAAGAACACCAGUGGCGAAGGCGGCUCUCUGGUCUGUAACUGACGCUGAGGCUCGAAAGCAUGGGUAGCGAACAGGAUUAGAUACCCUGGUAGUCCAUGCCGUAAACGAUGAGUGCUAAGUGUUGGGAGGUUUCCGCCUCUCAGUGCUGCAGCUAACGCAUUAAGCACUCCGCCUGGGGAGUACGACCGCAAGGUUGAAACUCAAAGGAAUUGACGGGGGCCCGCACAAGCGGUGGAGCAUGUGGUUUAAUUCGAAGCAACGCGAAGAACCUUACCAGGUCUUGACAUCCUUUGACCACCUAAGAGAUUAGGUUUUCCCUUCGGGGACAAAGAGACAGGUGGUGCAUGGCUGUCGUCAGCUCGUGUCGUGAGAUGUUGGGUUAAGUCCCGCAACGAGCGCAACCCUUGUUAAUAGUUGCCAGCAUUAAGUUGGGCACUCUAUUGAGACUGCCGGUGACAAACCGGAGGAAGGUGGGGAUGACGUCAAGUCAUCAUGCCCCUUAUGACCUGGGCUACACACGUGCUACAAUGGGCAGUACAACGAGAAGCGAACCUGUGAAGGCAAGCGGAUCUCUUAAAGCUGUUCUCAGUUCGGACUGUAGGCUGCAACUCGCCUACACGAAGCUGGAAUCGCUAGUAAUCGCGGAUCAGCACGCCGCGGUGAAUACGUUCCCGGGCCU